GUUUGGUAAUAACUGCACUAUUGAGUUGAGGACAUGUUAAAAAUGGUGGGUUGAACCUAUUUUUAUUGCUUGGCAAACCUCCCGCUUAUAUGACAAUGUUAAAACACAGCUUAAAUGACAACAGUACAUGACAAGCGCUUUACAGGAUUAAUCCUCACCAGGAACGCUAAAAUGCAAUGAUGUAUAAGAACCAAAACAGCUGAAAAGCUUAAUUCUAAAAUUGACCUACAAAAAGUAGCCAAAUUCAUUUAAGGACAACUUUGCCUGAGGGAGUUGAAA
rnacentral:lncRNA from 1 species